AGGGAAAGAGGGAGGCAGGCCUAACACAUGCAAGUCGAAUGGUAACAGGAAACAGCUUGCUGUUUCGCUGACGAGUGGCGGACGGGUGAGUAAUGUCUGGGAAACUGCCUGAUGGAGGGGGAUAACUACUGGAAACGGUAGCUAAUACCGCAUAACGUCGCAAGACCAAAGAGGGGGACCUUCGGGCCUCUUGCCAUCAGAUGUGCCCAGAUGGGAUUAGCUAGUAGGUGGGGUAACGGCUCACCUAGGCGACGAUCCCUAGCUGGUCUGAGAGGAUGACCAGCCACACUGGAACUGAGACACGGUCCAGACUCCUACGGGAGGCAGCAGUGGGGAAUAUUGCACAAUGGGCGCAAGCCUGAUGCAGCCAUGCCGCGUGUAUGAAGAAGGCCUUCGGGUUGUAAAGUACUUUCAGCGGGGAGGAAGGGAGUAAAGUUAAUACCUUUGCUCAUUGACGUUACCCGCAGAGGAAGCACCGGCUAACUCCGUG
rnacentral:rRNA from 1 species